rnacentral:rRNA from 1 species
GACGGAGGGUGCUAGCGUUGUUCGGAAUCACUGGGCGUAAAGGGCUCGUAGGCGGCCAACUAAGUCAUACGUGAAAUCCCUCAGCUUAACUGGGGAACUGCGUGUGAUACUGGAUGGCUUGGAUUUGGGAGAGGGAAGCGGAAUUCCCGGUGUAGUGGUGAAAUGCGUAGAUAUCGGGAGGAACACCAGUGGCGAAGGCGGCUUCCUGGCCUGUUCUUGACGCUGAGGCGCGAAAGCUAGGGGAGCAAACGGG